rfam:Erinaceus europaeus unplaced genomic scaffold scaffold00014, whole genome shotgun sequence
GUGCUUGCGUCAGCAGCACAUAUACUAAAAUUGAAACAAUACAGAGACAAUGAGCAUGGCUCCUGCACAAGGAUGACACUCAAAUUCUGGAAGACUUCCAUCAAAAA